GAUGAACGCUGACAGAAUGCUUAACACAUGCAAGUCGAUGGGGAAGUGGUGCUUGCACCAUGGUAACCAUGGCGGACGGGUGAGUAACGCGUAAGGAACUUGCCUGCGGGACUGGGAUAACAGCAGGAAACUGCUGAUAAUACCGGAUAAGGUCAUUAAGCUGCAUAGCUUAGUGAUGAAAGGAGACGCCUGCGGAGAGCCUUGCGUCCUAUUAGCUAGUUGGAGGGGUAACGGCCCACCAAGGCGAAGAUAGGUAGCCGGCCUGAGAGGGUGGACGGCCACAAGGGGACUGAGAUACGGCCCUUACUCCUACGGGAGGCAGCAGUGGAGAAUAUUGGACAAUGGGGGCAACACUGAUCCAGCAAUUCUGUGUGCACGAAGACGGUUUUCGGAUUGUAAAGUGCUUUCAGCAGGGAAGAAGGAAGUGACGGUACCUGCAGAAGAAGCGACGGCUAAAUACGUG
rnacentral:rRNA from 1 species